rnacentral:rRNA from 1 species
AUUGAACGCUGGCGGAAUGCUUUACACAUGCAAGUCGAACGGCAGCACGGGUGCUUGCACCUGGUGGCGAGUGGCGAACGGGUGAGUAAUAUAUCGGAACGUAUCCAAUAAUGGGGGAUAACUAGCCGAAAGGUUAGCUAAUACCGCAUACGCCCUGAGGGGGAAAGCUGGGGAUCGUAAGACCUAGCGUUGAUGGAGCGGCCGAUAUCUGAUUAGCUAGUUGGUGGGGUAAGAGCCUACCAAGGCGACGAUCAGUAGCUGGUCUGAGAGGACGACCAGCCACACUGGAACUGAGACACGGUCCAGACUCCUACGGGAGGCAGCAGUGGGGAAUUUUGGACAAUGGGGGCAACCCUGAUCCAGCCAUUCCGCGUGAGUGAAGAAGGCCUUCGGGUUGUAAAGCUCUUUCGCAAGGGAAGAAAACUCGAUCUCUAAUAUAGGUUGAGGCUGACGGUACCUUGAUAAGAAGCACCGGCUAACUACGUGCCAGCAGCCGCGGUAAUACGUAGGGUGCGAGCGUUAAUCGGAAUUACUGGGCGUAAAGCGUGCGCAGGCGGUUUUGAAAGUCAGAUGUGAAAUCCCCGGGCUCAACCUGGGAACUGCGUUUGAAACUCCAAAGCUAGAGUAUGGGAGAGGGAGGUAGAAUUCCACGUGUAGCAGUGAAAUGCGUAGAGAUGUGGAGGAAUACCAAUGGCGAAGGCAGCCUCCUGGGCCUAAUAC